CCCAUAAAAACCCCCAGGGGGACCCCAACCCGGCACAUCCCGGCCAUGGCCUCGAGCUCCCUCCCGCUCCUCGCCCUCCUGGCCCUGCUGGCCCUGCCAGGGCUCCGGGCGGCCGUGACCCUGCUGGAGUCCGGGGGGGACCUCCAGCCCCCCGGGGGGUCCCUGACUCUGCUCUGCCGCUCCUCCGGGUUCAAUUUCGGGAGUCACGGAAUGUUCUGGAUCCGCCAAAAAGCCGGGAAGGCGCCGGAAUGGGUCGCUGAGAUCAAUACGAGCGGCCGGGUUUGGUUCGCGCCGCCGGUGCGGGGCCGGUUCGGGAUCUCCAGGGACGACGGGCAGAGCUCGGUGACGCUGACCAUGAACGAGCUCAAGGACGAGGAUUCCGGCGCCUAUUUCUGUGCCGCUCACGGCGGCGCCGGGGAUGGGGACGGGUGGAGGGAAACCUCGGGGUGGUCCCUGGGGAGUGGGAGGGGGUUGGGGGGGUGA